AUGUAACUUCCUGCCAUGAUGUUCUCACAUAAAGUGAGGAUUUGGAAAUACACACAUUCCUGACUGAACUGUUCCUGUGGCAGCAUGUACGUUUCGAAAAGGGUUUGGUGUGAGGAGUGGGGUUUGGUGUGAGAAGAAGAGAUACUGCAGAUGAUCUUCUCCAACAAUACCACCGCCCGCCUGCCAGACCAUCUCACAAGACCUCCUCCCCUUCAUUACUUCCAUUAUAAGGGACUCCAUGACAUGACAUUACAUGGAGGCGAUCCACACCUUCUAUGCAGACUCUCCACUGGUGGAUUCUCUUCUGUUCUCCUUCCAUGUCUGCUCUCUCAGUAAGUUCAUAUUCUCAGUAUCAGCUCUCCCAGCAGUCUCCUACCUUAAAGCAUUUAUCACACCCUGCUGUGGACCAUGCUCCUUUCCACUGGCUUCCUUCGACUGGACCCACCAUCAAUCAAGGUUCAAGGAAGAUAUGCAUCAAGACUCCUGCACCCAGGUUGUGUAAUGAACUCCCUCUGGCUGCAGAUCAGCUGAGUCACUGGCUUCAAAUGAAGACUAAAGACCUACUUCUUCCCCAAGCACUUAAAGGAAUGCCAAUUUAAAAAGAAAAAAAAUCGCUUGACUUGUGUGUUUUCUUUUCUUGCUUUACGAACGAUCAGGGUUUUAGAUUGAUGGUACUCUUAGUCCCUGACAUAGUGAACAAGUAUGAAGAUGUUUCUGAUAGAGACACAAAACACUUCUAUAAGUCUCUCUGGAUAACGGCAUCUGCUAAAUGCUGUAAAUGCGAAUGUAAUUAAUGUGAGUUAAUUAUAGAAGCAUUGUUGUGAAUGAUCAGGACGAGGCGUGAGAAGCAGUGAAGGGGUAAUUCUGUCUCCUCAGAACUGAGUGCUGGAGUUAAAACAUGUGGAUCUGUGUCUUAUGCUUCAUCUUAUUGACAUCUUAAUUACUGAGUGGAGAAGGUGAGCGCAGAGCUGUUAUUCCUCACACCACCACGUCUUCUUUUUCUUCUUCUUCUUCUCUUCUCCUCCUCCUCCUCUUCCUGGUUGCUGUCUUUCCUUCUGAAUGCCACUUUUUAUCAUCAGAAAUUUCAUUCCUCAGGUGGAAGGUGAGCUCAGAAUAAACAGAUAGCCUGUUUGGCUAAUCAGAAUAUAUAAAGUGGAGGUCCUGUUUCUCAGUCAAUCUCCAUUUCUGUGAAAGAGCAUUGAUCAGUCACUGCAGUAGAGUUAACGCGUAUCAUAUUUCAAUGUUUCCAGCAUGUUAGCCAGGAAGUAAAGCCUCCAACAACAGGAUACAGCCAUGCCCAAGAGCAAACCCCACUGAUGCUUAUUACCUUAUAUACAUUUUGCUGCUACAUCUGUGAAAUGACAUUAAUAAUUAAAGCAGAAUGAUCAGUACUUUAAUCUUCCCUUUUAGCAGCUUUAAUCAGGAUGUAGUUAAAUCUCACCCCUGUUUUACACUCUGUGGUGCUGAUUGAAAAUUUAUCCUCGUCUCAAAUGCAGUGACUUUUAACCUCCCGUGCAAAAAUAAAUAAACACACAAUCGUACAAGCUUCAGUGUUGUCUAGUCUGCACUUUUGAUAGGCUGUCUGAAAAUGUUGAGUUUUCUAAUAAAAUGAGCAUGGAUAAAAUGUCCAUGCUGUUAGAGUUCAUUAGCGAGGCUAAGCUUAUCCUGUGCUUUAUUUAGUGAAGUGUUUAAUGAAUGCUAUGCUAACAGCAGGGGGUCAGUGUGGAGUGCAUUAACAUCUCUUCAACACUGUGUGUGUGUGUCUGUGAGGUAUGCAUUACACUGAGAGGGACUGAGAUGGAGCUUUUUAACUGAUUACUGCGUUGGCAAUUAGUGUUAGCCGCUGAUGCUAAAGAAGUAAAGGGCAAUAAAACCAUCUGUGUGCAGGAUUCCAUUAAGCCGAGUGCUACCACACACACACACACACACACACACACACACACACACACACACACACACACACACACACACUCGGUUGUAGAUAAAUCAGUAGGCAUUAGGAGGAGGAGAGGAUGGUACUUUUCAAACAUGGCAGGUGGGUCAGAAGUGAAAAAUUCACAUCACAGGUCAAAUCUGACUUGUUUAGUUUGACUGUAGUUACAGACAUACUGUGCGCUGUUUAGCGCAGGACAUGAGCUACUGUUACCAACCUGAAGUGGAUUAUUUUCCUAUAACAGCGUAUAGGAAGUGUACUAUACCACAGCAAUCUGGUAAUGAUUACAAUUUUAUAUUUAUUAAAGAACCACAUCAUACAUAGUUACAUUUAACGUUGUGGAACCUUGAUGGAACAAGUUACUUCCUGUUUUCACUUACAGUCAGGUCCAGAAAUAUUUUAGCUUUCAUUGGGGUUGAAAUUAAAUAAUGGUUAUGGGAACAAAGUGCAGACUUUAACUUGAGGGAUUUACAUCCAUAUCGGGUGAAGGCAGUAGGAAUUACAGAACUCUUUAUAUACGCUUUCCUCCCUUUUUAAAGGACCAACAAUAACCAGAUGAACAGAAUUAUAAAUUAUAUUGUAAUUUUUAAAACUUGGUUGCAAGUCCUUUUGGCAAUUUUCUAAGGGAGGCAUGGUGGCUUAGUGGGUAGAACAUUAGUCUCGUACCUCCAGGGUUUGGCAUUUGAUUCCCGUCUCCUCUCUGAGUGUGUGGAGAUUGCAUGCUCUCCCCAUGCUUUUGGGGUUCCCUCCAGGUACUCCAGUUUCCUCCCCCAGUCCAAAGACAUGUGUUGUAGGCUGACUGGUAUUUCCAAAUUGUCCGGUGUGUAUGUGUGGUUGUGCCCUGUGAUGGAUUAGCACCCCAACCAGGGUGUCUCCCACCUCAUGCCCAAGUUCCUUGGUGUAUUCUAUUUAGUGCUACAGAAAAUAAAUGGACAAUUUCUAAUUGUUGAAAUGACUGUAAGGAAAUGAAACAAAUAUAUUUCAGAUUUUUGGUGUGACAUUAGCCUGGGGGCUGAGAGAGAUGAGUCUUUAAUCUCUGUAUAUAUUACUCUGUGUGUGUGUGUGUGUGUGUGUGUGUGUGUGUGUGUGUGUGUGUGUGUGUGUGUGUGAAGUCUGAAAUGAUCAAAGAUGAGCUGUGAGUUCAGAAUCUUUGUUUCUGUCAAUCUUUAUUUCUCUGGCUUUUAGACACACACACACACACACACACACACACACACACACACACACACACACACACACACACACACACACACACACACAGAGAGACUGUGUAGAUGGCAAAAGAGGACAUGAUGGAUUCUAAUAAUUAAUAACAAAUAAAAACAGAACUUUGUUCUAGAGUAGCAUAAAACGGGUAUAUUAACAUAUAUUAAGGCUGUGUGUUUAUUAAUAAUAAGUUUAUUGGGAUAAAUUCGCACUUUUAAUAUCUGUAUACGGUGUUGAUAUUUCUUUAAAGUUGCUUUAAGACAAUGUCUAUUGUAAAAAGUGCUAUACAAAUAAAAUUGAAUUGAAUUGAAUUUAAUUAAUAAAUAACUCAUACAUUCUUUACACACUAUUUACACACUCUUUAAACACUAUUUACACACAAUUUACACACUGUUUACAGACUCUUUACACUAUACACUCUUGACACACUCUUUACACACUCUUGACACACUAUUUACACACUCUUUACACAUGCUUUACACACUCUUGACACACUCUUGACAAACUCUUGACACACGCUUUACACACUGUUUACACACUCUUUACACACUGUUUACACACUCUUUACACACUCUUUACCUAGCUUUACACACUGUUUACACACUCUUGACACACUCUUUACAUACCCUUUACACACUGUUUACACACUCUUUACACACUGUUUAGACACUCUUGAUACACGCUUUACACAUUUACACACUCUUGACACACUCUUUACACACUGUUUACACACGCUUUACACACUGUUUACACACGCUUUACACACUGUUUACACACGCUUUACACACUGUUUACACACGCUUUACACACUGUUUGCACACUCUUUACACACUGUUUACACACGCUUUACACCCUCUUUACACACGCUUUACACACUCUUUGCACCCUCUUGACACACUCUUUACACACUCUUUAAACACUCUUUACACUCACACACCUGAUCUGAUUUUAAUCUGUAAUGGAGUGAGAGCAUUUAAACCUGAAAUCAUUAAAGGAGGUCACAACAAUGUCUACUAUAUUCAGGUGAUGUUUGUAAGCAGUGUGUAUGUAAACAUUUUCUCUGAGUUGAAAGAAUUCAGGAGCAUUCAGUAUGCUGAAUGCUGAGUCCAGAUCUUUACUCAUUUACUGGGCUGUCUGUUGUACAUUUAUAGUGUAUGUGUGUGUGAGUGUGUGUGAGCGUGUGUGAGUAUGUGUGUAUGUAAGUGUGAGGGUGUGUGUGUCGGGGGGGGAGUGUUUAUCCUGAUAAUCUCUGACAGCUGGACACAUUAGAGCUCAGACUCUGAUUUUUAAGAUGGUUAGAAAUGAUGAAAAGUGUGAGAGUUAUGCGGUGAGGUACAGCAGGAGGCAGGACGGAGUUGAUUUAUUAUUUAUUAUCUAUUUUACAGAUGCUUUUAUCUGAAACCACUUACACCUGAGAGAGACAGUUCAGUCUAAACACAGAGCUGAGUGCUUUGGUGGGUUAGGGUCUUAUUCAAGAACUUAGAAGUAGAUCUUUGACAAUCCGGGAAUUUUAACUCAUAAACUUUCAUACUAUUAUCUCAGAACCUAAACCAUUGAGACACCCUAACCUGGAUUUCCAGGAGCAAGAUUUGACCCUGGAAAAAACACAGGGUCCUGAAAAUACUGGGUUCUCCAAAUUUAGACCUUUCUGGACAAUGGAAACAAAGGUUCUAAGAAUAUACAGUUCUGUCAAUAAAGGACCUUCUGGGAAUAUAGGACCAUGGAAACAUGGUGGAUGGAAUAUAGGGCUUUUUGAAAAAGAGGAUCCAAGGCAUAGAUGGAAUAUAGAAUUCUGGGAAUGUAAUAAUUGGGAAAUAUAGGUUUCUGGGAUUAUAGAGUUCUGGAAUAUAUAUAGAAACCUGGUAAAAUGGUUCCAGGAAUACAGUACUUGGAAAAAAAAAAAUAUUAUUGGAAUACAGGACCAUGGGAAUACAGAGUUCUGGAAACAACCCUAACCCUAAUAUAAUUCUCAGGAAUGCAGAUCCAGUCCUAAUUGGUGUGAUUCAAUUUGUAGGUUUUGCUGCUUGUGUGAUUUUUUGUUAUCUCCAGAUCAUUAGGAAGAUAAACACUGAUCUUGGGAUAAUUUAAGAGGAUAAAAUGUAUUCCUGCUCUGAUAAUCUUUAGAUUUCUGUGUGUGGUGUGUGAUUUAGAUUUACAUAUUGACUAAUCCAUAAUGAGAACAUUCCGCUGUGUGUUUAGUUUACAACCCCAAUUCCAAAAAAGUUGGGACACUGCGUAAAAUUUAAAUAAAAACAGAAUGCAUUGAUUUUCAAAUCUCAUAAACCCAUAUGUUAUUCACAAUGGUUAAACUGAGGAAACUGAGGAAAUGUACAUUUUAAGAAAAAAAUAAGGUAAUUAUGAAUUUUAUGCCCGUAGCACGUCUCAACAAAGUUGGGAUGAGGCAACAAAAGGCUGGAAAGGUAAGUGUUAGUAAAAAGAAACAGCUGGAGGUUAAUUGGGAACAGGUCAGUAAGAUGAUUGGGUAUAAAAAGAGGAUCUUAGAGAGGCGGAGUCUUUCAGAAAUAAAGAUGGGCAGAUGUUCACCAUUUUGCGAAAAACUGCGUCUACAAUUUGCGGAAUAAAUUGAGAAUAAUGUUCAUCAAUGUAAAAUUGCAAAGACUAUGAAUGUCUCAUCAUCUACAGCACAUAAUAUCAUCAAAAGAUCCCGAGAAUCUGAAGAAAUCUCUGUGUGCAAGGGAGGAAGGUGAAAAUCAAUAUUGCAUGCCCAUGUUCUUCAGGCCCAAGGGCAGCAGUGCAUUAAAAACAGGCAUGAUUCUGUAAUGGAAAUUUAAAUUUACAUUUACAUUUAUUCAUUUAGCAGAUGCUUUUAUCCAAAGUGACUUACAAAUGAGGAAAUACAAGCAAAGCGAUAUAUCAAGUGGAGAACAAUACAAGUAGUGCUACUAUGCAAUAUUUAUAAUUGAGUUCUAGAGAAGCAAAGUGGACAGAGUAGAGGUGUAAGAGUCAGUGCAAGGUGUUUUUUUUAUUUUUAAAAAACAAUAAUGUGGGGUUGGCAUGUUAGGGGUUAGUUGGCUGUAAGUGGGUCUUUAGUUGUUUUGUUAAGAUGGUGACAGAUUCUGUGGUCCGGAUAUGAGGUUGGAAGUUCAUUUCACCACCAGGUUCUGGAAAGGGACCUUGAGCCAAGUUGAGUAGGCACUAUUAAGUGUCGGUCAUUAAUUGAUCACAGAUUGCGUGAGGGAACGUAAGUCUUCAGGAGAGUGUUGAGGUAGGAGGGUGCUGUUCCAGACAAGGUCUUGUAGGUGAGCAUCAAGGCCUUGAAUUUGAUACGGAUGGCUACAGGAAACCAGUGGAGGGAGAUGAAGAGGGAUGUGACAUGGGUUAUUUGGGGCUGGUUGAAGACGAGGUGUGCUGCUGCAUUCUGAAUCAUCUAAAGGGGUUUGAUGGAGCUGCUGGGAGGCCCGAGAGUAGUGCAUUGCAAUAGUCCAGUUUUGAGAUAUCAAGAGCCUGGACUAGUAGCUGUGUAGUUAGAGUGGAACAUAGCAUGUCAGUUGUGUUGUUUAAGCCUAGUGAGGAGAGGUGGCCAUUAGAGGGAUGUGAAGUUGUGACUAUGGAGGAGAAGUGUGAGAGUGAAAGUGAGUGAAGAUUGCGACGAAAGGAGAUAGAGAGUGGAGACAGUGAGGGGCGUUAAGGGAGAGAAAUAGAAAACUGAAUAAAGAAAUGGUCAGAAGUGUAGAGAGGAGUAAUGAGAAUAUUGAGUGUGGUGUAGUUAUGUGUGAGGAUGAGGUGGAGCUGCUUGCCUGCUUUGUGAGUCGCUGGUGUGGCGAACUGCUUGAGGUCAAACUUAGGCAGGAGAGCAAGCAAAUCAACUGCAUGCAACUUGUCUAGGUGAAUGUUGAAGUCACCGAGGACCACAAGAGGAGUUCUGUCAUCUGGAAUGGUGGACUGUAGCAUGUCAAAUUCUUCGUUGAACUUCCCCAGUUGACCUGGAGGAUGAUAAAUAACAAGAUAGUGCAUUAUCGCAGUGUCAGUAAUAGUAACAGCAUGCAAUUCAAAGGAAGUGUUGGAGCAAGAGGGAGAAAGACAGGUAAAUUUCCAUGUUUUGGAGAGAAGCAAACCUGUACCACCCCCUCGUCAGUUGGGGCGCACGGUAUGGGAGAAGUUGAAGUUGGAGGCUGGGGCAGCGGGUGUGGCAGUGUUCUCAGUAUGGAUCCAGAUCUCAGCCAGAGUCAGCACACUGAGGUUGGAGUGGCUGGAAAAGGCAGGAAUGAAAUCUCCCUUGUUGACAGUAGAUUGACAGUUCCAAAGCCCGAUUGAGAAUGAGAAGGAAUCUGGAGAGGCCACAUGCAGAGAGCGUACUGUAGGUUGUCGACAUUGCUUACUUUUCUAGGAGUGUGCCAUGGUCUGCGUGUGUGAUAAAUAACAGAGAUAAACUGAUGACACAUGUUAAUGUGUAAACAGAUAAUUAGCAUGGGGAAAAGAGAGGAGGAAAAGGUGGAGAGAAUGAGAAAGUGAUACUUAGCAGCGUGAGUCUUGUCUUGUCGGUGUCGUUGCCCGGUGGACUCGUGCAGGUAGACUCGCAGGUCUUUACACAAGCGCGGUUUUCACAAGAGCUCAGGCUUCACACAACGAGGGCUAACACUUCUGCCUCAGCAUUUCCUAUUACUUAAGUGCUUCACAGGUGAGCACGCCUCUUUAAUUAGCAAAACAAAGUCUAAUAGCAUGAAUGAGCAACUCACUGCAUGGUCUCAGAAACACUUCCAGAACUCAUUGUCUAUGAACACAGUUUGCCGUGCCAUCCUCAAACGCUGGUUAAAGCUUCAUCAUGCAAAGAAGAAGCCAUAUGUGAACAUGAUACAGAAACGCUGCCGUCUUCUCUGGGCCAAAGCUCAUUUAAAAUGGACCGAGGCAGAGUGGAAAACUGUUCUGUAGUCAGACGAAUCUAAACGUGAAAUUCUUUUUGGAAACCAUGGAUGCCGCAUCCCCUAAACUAAAGAGAAGUAAAGAGGAGAGGGACCAUCCGGCUUUUUAUCAGUGCUCAGUACAAGAGCCUGCAUCUCUGAUGGUAUAAGGGUGCAUUAGUGCCUAUGGAAUGGGCAGCUUGGACAUCUGGAAAGGCACCAUCAAUGCUGAAAGGUAUAUCGAGGUUUUACUGCAACAUCUGCUUCCAUCCAGAUUCCAUCCCAUCUUUACUUCUGAUGUUUUUGUGCCACACGCCCGCAGAAAGAGGAAGCAGAGUUGAGGAGCAGGGUGAACAGAUAAAGCUUCACACCCACCGCCAUCUGCCUAAAACACCACCAUUUACACUGAAAACACAUGAGACAUUCUUAAACUUCUCUACAAUCUGUUAUUGUCUUUGGCAGAGAGUUACACUAUUAUUAUUAAUAUAAUGUAAAAAUAAUAAGAAGAAGCAGAAGAAGAAGAAGAAGAAAAACAAGAAUCACCUUCAGUACUGGACCUGUAAUGGUUAUUAGCAGGUUUAUUUUUCACUUCACAAUAUUAUCAUUUUCUUAUUUUUUAGAACAUAAUUUCUUGCUUCCACCACUAAUGACAUCUACUGACAUGUGUGUUCAUAUUAAUUAUUUCUCAGUAAAUCCAAUGAAGUUUUCACAGUGCUCACACUGACAGCUCUCAUCUGAGAGAAAAAUGCAGUUUAAAGUUUAUAUGAAGGUUCUCUUGAAUUCUUAUUGUACAGGGACUCUUUAAAUUGUUGUAUAAAACAUGGAGAAUCUUUAAUAAAUGUCACUAAAGACAAAACAAUGAGCUUAAAAUGUCGUCCAGUGGGACACCAAUGAGCAGAUACCAUCGGACAUCUGGGACUGAUCUG